CCCUCUGGGUCCAACCUCCCACCCGUGUUUAUUUUACCUUGUUGCUUCGGCGGGCCCGCCUUAACUGGCCGCCGGGGGGCUUACGCCCCCGGGCCCGCGCCCGCCGAAGACACCCUCGAACUCUGUCUGAAGAUUGUAGUCUGAGUGAAAAUAUAAAUUAUUUAAAACUUUCAACAACGGAUCUCUUGGUUCCGGCAUCGAUGAAGAACGCAGCGAAAUGCGAUACGUAAUGUGAAUUGCAAAUUCAGUGAAUCAUCGAGUCUUUGAACGCACAUUGCGCCCCCUGGUAUUCCGGGGGGCAUGCCUGUCCGAGCGUCAUUGCUGCCCUCAAGCACGGCUUGUGUGUUGGGCCCCGUCCUCCGAUCCCGGGGGACGGGCCCGAAAGGCAGCGGCGGCACCGCGUCCGGUCCUCGAGCGUAUGGGGCUUUGUCACCCGCUCUGUAGGCCCGGCCGGCGCUUGCCGAUCAACCCAAAUUUUUAUCCAGGUUGACCUCGGAUCAGGUAGGGAUACCCGCUGAACUUAAGCAUAUCAAUAAGCG
rnacentral:rRNA from 1 species